GAGAGCUAAAAGGCACACUGGGAACUAAAUUGACUGCAGGUGGGUCCGCAAGGCGUGGGAGCUCGCGAUCUAAACCGCGAAGAGAUCUUGGGGUCUUACACUACGCCAUUAGAGUGCGGCACUUCUCUGUCUGCCGCAGCUGCUGUAAGAGUCCUUGCCACCGCCGCUCUUGCCCAGGCCUCUACUGCGGCUUCCACCUCUGCGGGAUCACAGCAGCCCAGCCCAACCCCGUCCUGCGCUACUGCUGCCUUCGCCGCUGCCACCUCCUCAGCCUCGGCCUCCGCCACCACCCAAGCAUCCUUUUGAAUGGGGGCAACUGUUUGCUGAAGUGUGAUGUGUGAAGAGGUGGAAAGAAAUGAACUCAAGCAUCUCAGAAGUUUCAAUUCAGGUUUAGACAGAGAGAGCACAAGGUGCGGAGGGUCAGAGAGAGAGAGAGGGAGACACAGAAUCUGAAGCAAGCUCCAGGCUCUGAGCUAUCAGCACAGAGCCUGAUGUGGGGCUUGAAGCCAUGAACCCUGAAAUCCUACGCUAAACUGACUGAGCCACCCAGGCUCCCUAAGAACUCAACAUUCUUAAAUGUAAAAAGCUAAAAUAACUAAGUGAAUGAAGUCGAAACAUACUUUUCAAUACAAAAAGGCCACAGAAAUGAUUUCUUCAAAGAUUUUUUAUGUUUGUAAAUACAUUUGAAAUCUCAGAAUUCGGAUUCAUUAGAAAUGUUAGUGUCAUGUAACCAAGUACUUGGCUGUUUCCCAUGGAAAUUUUUGAAGAAAAUAAAAUUUUAAUCUAUAAAAGAUAUUAUAUUUAAAUUAAAAUAAAAUCCUAUUAUUCUUUUAAACAAUUCCAAACAAGUAAUUUGUUUUAAUAUUGUUCCUCCACAUUUCUACAAACAAUCCCAAAUAAGAAACCAUUUUUCCCCUUAGGGUAGAAACAUAAUUCCUCCACAAUCUAGGCAAAAAGCAAGACCCUAACUAUAACAGUGACACUUUUACUUAACUGCCCUUUUGAUCUAUGACAAAUAAGUUCUCAUUUCCUUAUAUCACAUUAAGAUAAAUAUAUCCAUAACUACUUGAAGUGUUACCAAUCCAAGAAUAUUUUAUUCUAGUAAAUCAAAGCCCAGUGUUUAGAAGCAAAAUUAUUGAGCUUCAAGCAUUAGGCUCCUUCCUAUAAGCAUUGAUCUUAUUCCCAAUCCCUGAAUCAUAUCUUUCAAGUGUGUCACUUAAAAAGUUUACUGAUAAGACCAACCCUUCAAAAAAAGACAUAUUAGCUGCCCUUAAUUUUUUUUUCAUUCUGUACCCUGCUUAUGGUUGUUUCAUAUUUGAUCACCAGGGAUUAAUUUAGUUUCUUCCCAUUAACAGUUCAGUAUACAUUAUCUUUUAUGGAACUGAACAAGUUUACUUCAGAGUUAGUGGCCAAAUGUAUAUUAUACCUAUUUGCUAUUGAUGAACCUAUAUUAUCACUGCUCGUGAAAAAUGAAGAAAAAGUUUCUGAAGAGACUGAGGAUGUUAUAUGCAGUAUAAUACAGUGGGUACAGGCUUGGUAUUGAAAUCAGACACAUCAAGAUCAAAACUAGAUUAUUGGCCCCCACUGGAGGUAUGAUAUUGAACAAAUCAUUUUAAGCCUUUUAUUUUCAUAAGCGGGUUAAAUAAUGUAUAGAAAGUCCUGCACAAAUAGUAAAGACUCAGUAAGUGUUAACAAAGAUAAAACCAAUAUACCCCAAUAAAAACUUUAGAGUGCACCUGGAUUUCAUAGCCUCAUUAAUAAGUAGAUUGUAUCAUUAGUCAAUUAACCUUUACUUUCCACAGCUAAAAUUAUAUUUUAAAAGUAUUUAUACAUUACAAAAUGAAGAAUUUAGGUAAUGACUGCAACAGACUACAACACAGAACUUAAAGCUAAAUUCCCUUGUUUUACAUGUUUGAAUUUUUCAGUGAACUUUCUGUGUCAGAACUCUGCCAAUGUUUGUGUAAGUCAUAUGCUAAACUUCUUGGUUCAGUUUUGUUUCAUUGAUCACUUAAUAAAUAAAUAUUUUUCUAACAUCUAUUAUUUACCAUGACUGUAUUAUUUGUUACUACUAUAAAUUUGCAUAAGAUAUUGCUUCUGUUUUCAAGUCUGUUUGCACAAGUCUGGAAGAAGAGGCAGAGAUGUAAAUAGCUGAUAAUAAUAAAAAGUUAUGUGUACACAAAUAACUUAUUAUAGAAAUUGUGACAAAUGUCAUAAAGUAGUUUGACAUGAAUCAUGAUAAGAAUAGGUGUGGAAUAGUAAGAUUCAUAGCACUCAUCUCAUGUACAAUGUUAAGAUUAUAAAGUAAAACAUAGGUUUCUUACUCACAGUGGGAUGUAACAGAGCCAUACUGUGCUUUGCCAAUUAUUAGUGAUAUGAUUAUGAGCCCUAGUAUUCUCUGUUGUAAAUUGGGUUAAUAAAAUUUUCAUUUAAAUAUUUAUUUUGAGGACUUGUUCUUUCACCUUGCAAAUAUUUAUUAAAUCCUUAUUCUUCCAGGCAGUGUGGUAAGUGCUGAAUUAAAUAAGACUGUGAAAAAUGCACUUGAUACAUGACAGGCUUUCAGUAAAAGACAACUAUAUAAGGGGGGCCUUGAGUAGUAAUAAUAAGUUAGCAAUAAUAACAGUUAUUAUUUAUUGAAUAUUUUCUAUGUGAUACAUGUUAUAUCACUUUUGAAUACUGAUAAUGACCAAAGAAGAUAGUUCAUGUAUUUGAGGGGCUAGUCUAGCACAUACUUUCAUUAUUUGGAUAUGUUUCACAAAAUUCCAAUUCCAAAAUGAAUAUAUUUAUCAUAUUAAUAUAUUAUUAACAUAUAUUAGAUUAAUAUUAUAUAAUUAUAAUACAUAAUAAUAUUAACAUAUACAUUAUAUUAUAUAGUAUAACUAUAAUACAAUGUAAUACUUUUAUAUUAAAAUAAUAUUGAUGUUAAUAUAUUAAACAUAUUUAAAUAUGUUAAAUAAUAUACUUCUUGUAUCAUUGAUAUAUAAAUGAUAUAUUGAUUCAAUAUUUAUAAUAUAAAUAUUAAUAUUUCCUUUUUAUGAUUGCAAUAACAGAAAGAUGAACAUGUCUCCCUAAAGUAACAUAGGCUAGUUUGCUAAAGCACUGAGUGAAACAUUAGUUUGCUGAAGCUGAGCCUAAUAUUUCUUCUAAGGAAACAUGCUGCUUUUGAUUAAUACAAUUUGUAGUCUUUUAACUAAAGACACAGAUUAAAUGAUUUGACCAUUGCUGAAAGCACUUCUAUAAGCAUUGGGGUACAAUUGCCCCUAUGAAUCAGCACUCCUGUAUCCUUUGGAUAAAUUCCUAGUAGUGCUAUUGCUGGGUUGUAGGGUAGUUCUAUUUUUAAUUUUUUGAGGAACCUUCACAUUAUUUUCCAGAGUGGCUGUACCAGUUUGCAUUCCCACCAACAGUGCAAGAGGGUUCCCAUUUCUCCACAUCCUUGCCAACAUCUGUUUCCUGAGUUGUUAAUUUUAGCCACUCUGACAGGUGUGUAGUUGUAUCUUAAUGUGGUUUUGAUUUUUAUUUCCCUGACAAUGAGGGAUGUUGUGCAUCUUAUUAUGUGCCUGUUGGCCAUCUGGAUGUCUUCUUUGUAAAAAUGUCUAUUCAUGUCUUCUGUCCAUUUAUUCACUGGAUUAUUUGUUUCUCGGGUGUUGAGUUUGGUGUGUUCUUUAUAGAUUUUGUAUAUUAGCCCUUUAUUUGAUAUGUCAUUUGCAAAUAUUUUCUCCCAUUCUGUUCAUUGCCUUUUAGUUUUGUUGAUUGUUUCCUUUGCAGUGCAGAAGGUUUUAUUUUGAUGAGGUCCCAAUAGUUCAUUUUUGCUUUUAUUUCCCUUGCCUUUGUAGACAUGUCAAGUAAGAAGUUGUGUGGCUGAGGACAAAGAGGUUGUUGCUUGUUUUUUUUCUCUAGGGUUUUGAUGGUUUCCUGUCUCAC